rnacentral:rRNA from 1 species
UCGAGAGGCUUCUACAAUGGGGGAAACCCUGAUAGAGCGACGCCGCGUGGGUGAUGAAGGUCUUCGGAUCGUAAAGCCCUUUCAGCAGGGAAGAAUGAGGCUGGUGUAAACAGCGCCAGACUCGGGACGGUACCUGCAGAAGAAGCUCCGGCUAACUCCGUGCCAGCAGCCGCGGUAAGACGGAGGGAGCAAGCGUUGUUCGGAUUUACUGGGCGUAAAGGGCGUCUAGGCGGGCCAGCCAGUCAGGUGUGAAACCCCCCGGCUCAACCGGGGAUCUGCACUUGAUACUGCUGGUCUUGAGUACGAAAGAGGAAGGCGGAAUUCCUGGUGUAGCGGUGAAAUGCGUAGAUAUCAGGAAGAACACCGGUGGCGAAGGCGGCCUUCUGGUUCGACACUGACGCUAAAGCGCGAAAGUGUGGGGAGCAAACAG